rnacentral:rRNA from 1 species
GACGAACGCUGGCGGCGUGCUUAAUACAUGCAAGUCGAACGGAAAGACGCUGCGUUUGUUGCUUGCUCGAUUGGCGAACGGGUGAGUAACACGUGAGUAACCUCCCCUUGACUUUGGGAUAACUUCACGGGACUGGGGCGAUUAUCGGAUAUGAGCUCUUGCUGCGUAUGGGGGGUUGGAGAAUUUCGGCGGUUGGGGAUGUACUCGCGGCGUCUCAGCUGGUUGGUGGGGUAGUGGCUUACCAAGGCUUUGACGGGUAGCCGGCGUGAGAGGGUGACCGGCCACAUUGGGACUGAGAUACGGCCCAGACUCCUACGGGAGGCAGCAGUGGGGAAUAUUGCAAAAUGGGCGGAAGUCUGAUGCAGCAACGCCGCGUGCGGGAUGACGGCCUUCGGGUUGUAAACCGCUUUCGCCUGUGACGAAGCGUGAGUGACGGUAAUGGGUAAAGAAGCACCGGCUAACUACGUG